UACAGAGGGUGCGAGCGUUAAUCGGAAUUACUGGGCGUAAAGCGUGCGUAGACGGUUAUAUAAGUCGGGUGUGAAAGCCCCGGGCUCAACCUGGGAAUUGCAUUCGAGACUGCAUAGCUAGGGUGCGGAAGAGGGAAGCGGAAUUUCCGGUGUAGCGGUGAAAUGCGUAGAUAUCGGAAGGAACAUCAGUGGCGAAAGCGGCUUCCUGGUCCAGCACCGACGUUCAGGCACGAAAGCGUGGGGAGCAAACAGG
rnacentral:rRNA from 1 species